AACGAACGCUGGCGGCAGGCUUAACACAUGCAAGUCGAGCGCCCCGCAAGGGGAGCGGCAGACGGGUGAGUAACGCGUGGGAAUCUACCCAUCUCUACGGAAUAACGCAUGGAAACGUGUGCUAAUACCGUAUACGCCCUUCGGGAGAAAGAUUUAUCGGAGAUGGAUGAGCCCGCGUUGGAUUAGCUAGUUGGUGGGGUAAAGGCCUACCAAGGCGACGAUCCAUAGCUGGUCUGAGAGGAUGAUCAGCCACACUGGGACUGAGACACGGCCCAGACUCCUCAGGGAGGCAGCAGUGGGGAAUAUUGGACCAGGGGCGGCAGCCUGAUCCAGCCAUGCCGCGUGAGUGAUGAAGGCCCUAAGGUUGUAAAGCUCUUUCACCGGUGAAGAUAAUGACGGUAACCGGAGAAGAAGCCCCGGCUAACUUCGUGCCAGCAGCCGCGGUAAUAC
rnacentral:rRNA from 1 species